UCCGUGUGAGUCAUCGGCCGAUUUCAUAUAGUGUCCGUGUGAGUCACUGGCCGAUUUCAUAUAGUGUCCGUGUGAGUCACUGGCCGAUUUCAUAUAGCGUCCGUAUCCCUGUGUCAGGCAACCGCUUCUAACACAACACUCCAAGUUCUAAGUUUACUUCCUGAAUCUUUAUUUUGAGUUGAAGCUGCCGUGUGUGUGUGUGUGUGUGUGUGUGUGUGUGUGUGUACGCCUAUAGCGCCGGUAGGCUUCCUUGAGGGGCCUGGAUGGUAGUUGGCCCCAGCCCGUCAUGGCGCAGGCAAGUGUUUAUAGUGGCGCCAUCUUCUCUUGGUGUGUGUGUGUGUGUGUGUGUGUGUGUGUGUCAAGCUGUCACCCUGGUCUUUAAGCUGUCACCCUGGUCUUCAAGCUGUCACCCUGGUCUUCAAGCUGUCACCCUGGUCUUCAAGCUGUCACCCUGGUCUUCAAGCUGUCACCCUGGUCUUCAAGCUUUCACCCUGGUCUUCAAGCUGUCACCCUGGUGUUCAAGCUUUCACCCUGGUCUUCAAGCUUUCACCCUGGUCUUCAAGCUUUCACCCUGGUCUUCAAGCUGUCACCCUGGUCUUCAAGCUUUCACCCUGGUCUUCAAGCUUUCACCCUGGUCUUCAAGCUGUCACCCUGGUCUUCAAGCUGUCACCCUGGUCUUCAAGCUGUCACCCUGGUCUUCAAGCUGUCACCCUGGUCUUCAAGCUGUCACCCUGGUCUUCAAGCUGUCACCCUGGUCUUCAAGCUUUCACCCUGGUCUUCAAGCUGUCACCCUGGUCUACAAGCUUUCACCCUGGUCUUCAAGCUAUCACCCUGGUCUUCAAGCUUUCACCCUUGUCUAACUUAUAGGGUUCACGGUGCACCAUUUUUCAGGGAGUCCAACUUUUAAUAUUCUUUUCUUCUUUUAUUUUUAGGUCGGAGAAGUUGUUUUGGUGAUGUAGAGAGAGCGUUCAAGACACCAAAGUUCAGGAUGCGAUUGGUGAGACAGACAGCCUUUGCAGCGACCUUCACUAACUUAACCACCACGUAGGCCUAUAACACAACCAUUACGUCCUUGUUAAGUUGUCUAAACACCACACUCGAACCUUUGAUAGAGUCCUUACCAUCACAUCGAACCGGGUUUUAUAUUUAUUUAUAUUUGAGAGACAUUUUGCAACGGCCUCUACUUACAUCAACAACCACACCCAAUAUGUUCUUGUGUAGUCGAUGUUUAAGAACCACACUCGGCCUGUUACCAUAGCCUACUCCUGGUCACUUCUAUAGACCUACGCACCAAGAGAUGUUCCUUGCUCGUCAUCACAAUUCCCACAGUCGCUCGCCACCGCUCACCAGCACAUGGCAUCAUCGUUCCAAUCACCACCUCAGUAUAUCCCUCGUGAUCACACUGUCAAGGUAAUGCUUUCGUCUUUUUUUCAUCUCCACUUUCUUAUGUGCUGCUUGAGUGCCGGUAGUCCUGAACGCGGCGCCGUCAUGCUAUCCCCUCAGCCACCGCAUGGAGAUUUGCCCCGAGGGAACACUGGAGCUGGCGUCGUAGGGCUGAUUGACUAGGCUCUCUUAAGUGGCCUUUUGGACGACCCCAGCCCGUUAUUGGAGCGGGCGAAUUUUAUUUAUAGUGGUGCCGUAGCUCUUGCGUGGCCCAUGCUGCCCUCGUGUGCUCCACUCGAACGAAGUCACUGAAGUUAGGGUUGAGUGGAGAUCCUGCCAGCUUGUGGGUAAUCUUCCUCGGCGAUGGUUGAAAACUAUCACCGUCUUUGGGUAGAAAGUUGGAAAGUUUCGUUUAGUCGGCGCAGCAUCUGUGGUCAUAUGCCGGAGAGAGACAGAAGGGGAAGGAAUUAUUGGAGAAGGGAACAGUUGGAAAGUUUCGUUUAGUGGGCGCAACAUCUGUGGUCAUAUGCCGGAGAGAUACAGAAGGGGAAGGAAUUAUAGGAGAAUGGAGCAGAUCCCAGGAGACGGGACACAACCCCCGAUUAAUACCCGGUACCCAUUCACUGCUGGGUGGACAGGGGCGUAGGGUAUCGGAAAAGCCGCCCAAAUUUUUCCACUCCGCCCAGGAAUCGAACCCGGGCUCUCUUGGUUGUGAGCCGAGUGUGCUAACCUCUGGUCAUUGGGUGGAACGUGAAGCUAUGUCCUCGGGUUCACCACGCCUGCACGCUGACUACUUGGGCACCGUCUCCCAGAACUGGUGGCCUUUUUCGCCCAUUAGGUUCACCAGUACACGCCAAAACAGUUCAGUUCAGUAGCUAGGCGUCGGAUAAGCCUUGGCAUCGGGUCCUACUAGGCUGUUUCUUUCGUUGUGCUGCAGUUCCUGUGUUUUUCUGUGUCUUGUUUUCCAGAUAGUUUUAAUAUAUUCUUUUCUUUCUUGUAUAUAUUUGAUUCUUUGUUCACUUCACCGCCUCCCUCGCCAUCAUGAAGUCGAGGUUUUGACAGGUGGUUCUUGCGUGCUGGCCGUCUCUCAUCUCGCCUCCGCUGCUGCCUACUGUCCAUGAGCUUCACCAGUACAUGACAGAGCACUACACCGCUUCUCUCGCCAUCAUGAAGUCGAGGUAUUGACAGGUGGUUCUUGGGUGCUGGCCGUCUCUCUCUCUCGCGCUCACGAAGUCGAGAUUUUGACAGGUGGUUCUUGUGUGCCGGCCGUCUCUCAUCACGUCUCCGCUGCUGCCUAUUGUCCAUCAGGUUCACCAGUACAUGACAGAGCACUACACCGCUUCUCUCGCCAUCAUGAAGUCGAGGUUUUGACAGGUGGUUCUUGCGUGCUGGCCGUCUCUCAUCUCGCCUCCGCUGCUGCCUACUGUCCAUGAGCUUCACCAGUACAUGACAGAGCACUACACCGCUUCUCUCGCCAUCAUGAAGUCGAGGUUUUGACAGCUGGUUCUUGCGUGCUGGCCGUCUCUCAUCUCGCCUCACUGCUGCCUACUGUCCAUGAGCUUCACCAGUACAUGACAGAGCACUACACCGCUUCUCUCGCCAUCAUGAAGUCGAGGUUUUGACAGCUGGUUCUUGCGUGCUGGCCGUCUCUCAUCUCGCCUCACUGCUGCCUACUGUCCAUGAGCUUCACCAGUACAUGACAGAGCACUACACCGCUUCUCUCGCCAUCAUGAGGUCGAGGUUUUGACAGGUGGUUCUUGCGUGCUGGCCGUCUCUCUCUCUCGCGCUCACGAAGUCGAGAUUUUGACAGGUGGUUCUUGCGUGCUGGCCGGCUCUCAUCUCGCCUCCACCGCUGCGUACUGUCCAUGAGCCCACCACCACUCGCCCGAACCACCUCAGGAAAACC